UACGUAGGGCGCAAGCGUUGUCCGGAAUUAUUGGGCGUAAAGGGCGCGUAGGCGGCCGGGUUGGUCGUGGGUGAGAUCCCCCAGCUUAACUGGGGAACUGCCUACGAUACUGCCUGGCUCGAGGGAGGAAGGGGCGGUCGGAACUGUCGGUGGAGCGGUGAAAUGCGUUGAUAUCGACAGGAACGCCGGUGGCGAAAGCGGACCGCUGGCCCUCUUCUGACGCUGAGGCGCGAAAGCCAGGGGAGCGAACGGG
rnacentral:rRNA from 1 species